AUGCCUCGUCUCUCUCUCUCUCUCGGCCAGGCCGUGGAAGUCAGAUCGAACCGGGAGAUUUUCAGAAACUGGCGGCAUAAAAGAUAGGGGCGCCACGGGCACGAUAUGCCCAUCUAGAGUUACCGCAGGGUCGGUUACCAGGUCUAUGCCUUUCCUUUCCUCCGGUGAAAACAGAAAAUCCAGAGGAUUUCGAUU